rnacentral:rRNA from 1 species
GACGAACGCUGGCGGCGUGCCUAAUACAUGCAAGUCGAACGCACUCUCGUUUAGAUUGAAGGAGCUUGCUCCUGAUUGAUAAACAUUUGAGUGAGUGGCGGACGGGUGAGUAACACGUGGGUAACCUGCCCUAAAGUGGGGGAUAACAUUUGGAAACAGAUGCUAAUACCGCAUAAAACCUAACACCGCAUGGUGUAGGGUUGAAAGAUGGUUUCGGCUAUCACUUUAGGAUGGACCCGCGGUGCAUUAGUUAGUUGGUGAGGUAAAGGCUCACCAAGACCGUGAUGCAUAGCCGACCUGAGAGGGUAAUCGGCCACACUGGGACUGAGACACGGCCCAGACUCCUACGGAGGCAGCAGUAGGGAAUCUUCCACAAUGGACGAAAGUCUGAUGGAGCAACGCCGCGUGAGUGAAGAAGGUUUCGGAUCGUAAAACUCUAGUUGUUGGAGAGAAAUGUAUCUGAUAGUAACUGAUCAGGUAGUGACGGUAUCC